UAAGAAAGAGAAAGCCAGGAAGAAGCUGUAUCAUUUUUUAGGAUGCAGUCUCAGAGGUCACACUUCUGCCAUAUUCUUUUCAUGAAAACUUAGUCACUAAGCCCGCCCAAAUUUGGUGGGGUGGGGGGAAUUACCAAAGAAUUGGCAGGCUAUAUGCAGAAUAUGCCAUAUCAGUGAAUUUUCUAUGUCAGAAUGAUCUUUCCAAGGUGAAAAACAAUACUGGGUCAGGGUUGGUCUCUGGAUUUUGAAAGCAACACAUAUAACAUGUGAGCCUGCUGCUUUCAUCUAGGCCAAUUUUAAGUGGGGCACAAAGCAAGAAAAGCCUCCACGGCAAGUCUAGGCUUUGAUGAAAAUUUUCCUUCCACGUGGACCUUAUGGUUGAGCAUACCAUAUAAGAUUGCUAGUUGGAAAAGCUGUCCUUCUCCGGCUUUCCACGGUCUCCCUCUGUUGCCGAAGCUGGACUGUACCGCCAUGAUCUCCGCUCGCUGCAACCUCCCUGCCUUUUUCUCCUGCCUCAGCCUGCCCAGUGCCUGGGAUUGCGGGCGCGCGCCGCCAGGCCUGACUGGUUUUUGUAUUUUUUGGUGGAGAUGGGGUUUCGCCCUGUUGGACGGGCUGGUCUCCAGCUCUUGACCGUGAGUGAUCUGCCCGCCUCAGCCUCCCGAGGUGCUGGGACUGCAGACGGAGUCUCGCUCACUCAGUGCUCAGUGUUGCCCAGGCUGGAGUGCAGUGGGGUGAUCUCGGCUCGCUACAACCUCCACCUCCCAGCCGCCUGCCUCGGCCUCCCAAAGUGCCGAGAUUGCAGCCUCUGCCCGGCCGCCACCCUGUCUGAGAGGUGAGGAGCGUCUCUGCCUGGCUGCCCAUCGUCUGGGAUGUGAGGAGCCCCUCUGCCCAGCCGCCCAGUCUGGGAAGUGAGGAGCCUCUCUGCCCGGCCGCCCAUCGUCUGGGAUGUGGGGAGCGCCUCUGCCCGGCUGCGACCCCGUCUGGGAACUGAGGAGCCUCUCUGCCCGGCUGCCACCCUGUCUGGGAGGUGAGGAGCGUCUCUGCCCGGCCGCCCCAUCUGAGAGCUCCUGCCUUGCUGCUGGGUGCUGGAGAGGCUAAAUGUAUGACUAAGGAGCAUCAAGUGACUACCAAACCCAAACUCCCCAUCAAGCACUGGAAUUCCAGUUUUUCCGUCUCCAAAUAGCCGGGGUUGGAAGAUGGGUUCUCGCCCUGACACCGCAGAGCUCUGUCUCAUCUAUAGAACAAGAGUACAGCCGCCUCCGUUAUCUCCCGACUGCAGCUGCUCUUAACGGUUUCGCUCUUGUUGCCCAGGCUGGAGUGCAGUGGUGUGAACUCAGCUCACCGCAACCUCCGCCUCCCAGGUUCAAGCGAUUCUCCUGCCUCAGCCUCCCGAGGAGCUGGGAUUACAGGCAUGCGCCAUCAUGCCCAGCUAAUGUUUUGUAUGCACCUUUUCUUAACUAUUAUUGAAGGGGUGGCCUGCCCCUCCACACCUGUGGGUGUUCCUCGUUGGGUGGAACGAGAGACUGAGAAAAGAAAGAGACACAGCGACAAAGUAUAGAGAAAGAAAAGUGGGCCCAGGGGACUGGCGCUCAGCAUAAGGAGGACCCGCACCAGCACCAGUCUCUGAGUUCCCUCAGUAUUUAUUGAUCAUUAUCUCUACCAUCUCAGAGAGGGGGACGUGGCAGGACAAUAGGGUAAUAGUGGGGAGAGGGUCAGCAGGAAAACAUGUGAACAAAUGUCUGUGUCAUAAACAAGGUUAAGAAAAGGUGCUGUGCUUUUGACGUGCACAUACAUAAACAUCUCGGUGCAUUAAAAAGCAGUAUUGCCGCCAGCAUGUCUCACCUCCAGCCCUAAGGUGGUUUUCUCCUAUCUCAGUAAAUAGAACAUACAAUCGGGUUUUACACCAAAACAUUCCAUUGCCCAGGGAUAAGCAGAAGACAGAUGCCUUCCUCUUAUCUCAACUGCAAAGAGGCCUUCCUCUUUUACUAAUCCUCCUCAGCACAGACCCUUUGUGGGUGUCGGGCUGGGGGACAGUCAGGUCUUUCCCUUCCCACGAGGCCAUAUCUCAGGCUAUCACAUGGGGAGAAACCUUGGACAAUACCUGGCUUUCCUAGACAGAGGUCCCUGCGGCCUUCCGCAGUGUAUUGUGUCCCUGGGUACUUGAGAUUAGAGAGUGGUGAUGACCUUUAACAAGCAUGCUGCCUUCAAGCACUUGUUUAACAAAGCACAUCCUGCACAGCCCUAAAUCCAUUAAACCGUGAGUCAACACAGCACAUGUCUCUGUGAGCACAGGGUUGGGGGUAGGGUUACAGAUUAACAGCAUCUCAAGGCAGAAGAAUUUUUCUCAGCACAGACCAAAAUGGAGUCUCUUAUGUCUACUUCUUUCUACAUAGACACAGUAACAGUCUGAUCUCUUUUUCUUUUCCCCACAAUUAUAAGAGUAUACAAGGUGGUGAUGAAGAAACCUGGGAUUACGUGCUGUGAAAUGGGGAUAACAGCAAUUCUAACUUCAUAGUUUUCUCAUGGUAAUUAAAUGACACAAAAUCAUGUUAAGUUCCAAGACAAGAGUCUGGUGCAUUUUAAGUGCUCAGUAAAUACUAGCAAUUAUUAAUUGUUGUUAUUUGCCACCAUUCUCCAAGAGUACAAGAAAAUAUUUAUGACUGGACUUAGGGAGCAAACACUCACGUUGACCAUACGGUGAGUAAUAAGAUGCAGUCUUCUUAGCAUCACCAAAGUCAUAGACCACAGGUAUGGCUGGGCCAUUGUCAUUCCAACAUUUCCCUGAUCUGUAUUUCACUGGGUAUUUCUGCAGAGACCCAGAAGAAAGGUUUUGUGAGGACAGUAGAGAUGCUGCCACAGUGUGGGGGGAGGAGGGGUUUCAAAUUAACUGCCAUUACCCAAAACCAAUCCUCAUAAUAGUGACUGCUUUUCCCCAUAGCUGUGUCUCCCCAACAGCCCCAAACCCCUUGUCCCUGUCUCUUUCUCCCCAUGCUUUCCUGUCCCACAGGCCUCUUCCUUGCUGGCUUAGAGUUUCUGAGAGGCCAGACAUGAGUUCACAGUGAAUCAAAGGAAGGAGAAACAGCCAACCACUCAGUAGUGAUGUGGAACCACAGGACAGAUCUGCCCCCUACCCUAGACACUUCGAUCUCUGUUCACCAAAGAAAGUGCCCCCCAGCCAGCAGCCCUGUGUACCUGGUAGAUGCCAAACAGAUUAUGUCCCAGUCUCUGGAGGAAGCCAGUGUUGGUGCGGUACCUCAGCAG
rnacentral:lncRNA from 10 species